UCACUUCACAUUAAGCCCGCAUUCCCUAUAUCGGGACUGCCGGUUUUUGCUGGCUAUGGCGAUAAAUUGCGGUGUGCAAUAGGCACAGCGGACCCGGGGGCAGUACCCGGCGGCUCCACCACCGCUCCCCACAGGGGGCACGAUGACGGGGCCGAACUAGGAUCGACGUGUGUUGAAAAGCAUCGUUUUCGCUCGGGCUGAGUAACCCGUUCAAGGCUCAAAACUUAUAAGUGCCAACGACAACGAAGCACUUGCUCUCGCUGCGUAACCUGACGGCCUAACGGCCUGAUCUUACAAAGCUUUGAGCACGGUUCGGACCGAACCGGGUAACAGAAUCGGAAACC
rnacentral:tmRNA from 1 species